AGCAGCCGCGGUAAUUCCAGCUCCAAUAGCGUAUAUUAAAGUUGUUGCAGUUAAAAAGCUCGUAGUUGGACUUCUGGUUUAAUGCACCUGGCCCGCGGCCCACAAGGCCUGUGAGUGCCGGCGCGCGUUUACCAUCCUUCCAGCAACGGCUACCCUUAACUGGCGGCUGGAACUGGAUCUUUUACUUUGAAAAAAU
rnacentral:rRNA from 1 species